UAAUAAACACAAAACCUAGCGCCGUUGGUCUCUCUCUCUGUAACAGGCGAUUUCCGGCGGUCUGACCCUAUCGAGUCUCUCUUCCUUCUUCUCCCACUCGCCGUCCUCUCCGAAUCACCAUCAUGACCAUAACCACCGUCCUCUCCCAUCCGUCAGCCAUAUCCAUGUUGUCUCCGUCCACCUAGUCACCACCGUUCCUCUCCUUGUCUUCUCCACUCAGUCUCAGGAGUGACGAGAGUGGUGAGUCGGAGAUGAGCAGCGUCGGUGAGGAGACAGAGCUUAAUUUUGACUUCCAUGGAGUUUUGUUGUGUGUUCGAGCUUCGAGCUUGAGGGAUGAGAUGGAGUCUAGUGAGAAGAGAAGGGAGGAGAUGGAUUUGGCUCAGAGACGAGGGAGGAGAUGGAGUUUGAUUCAAAGAUAAGUCUCUUACCCUCUUUCUCAGAUUCUGUUUUAUUUCUGAUUUAAUGUAUUGAUUAUGGAGGAAACUGACAGUUUCAAAUCUAUAACCACAGUUUCAGGUACGUUCAGGCGAGAAUAAAUGUCACAAACCAGCUGAGGACUGAGGACAUCGUUGAAAAUUUGGGAUGUGCUUCAUUCUCUUGAUCACAAGCAUAGGGGAUGUGCUUCAUUCUAAGCUGCUGAAAGGCUGUAUAUUAUGGUUGCAGGGCUGAAAUACUAGUGCAAAGAGCUUCUUUUCCUGAUGAAUUCACACGGUUAACAACCAUCAUAUAUACGAGAUUGUCUUAAAGCAUGCUUAUUAUAAGGAUCAAGCAUGAAUGUCCAUAAGCUACAGAUUCAGUGAUUGUGCAACCACUUUUUGGCUAGAAUUGGAAGAUAGAUGAAGUUGUUGAUAAUUAUCCUCAGAGAGAAUAUCUGUAGAUGUUUGUAAUUGGCAUGGGUAUUGUACUUUUGUACCAGACUACAUCGUAUUGUUCUCUUUGUAUCAAACUGAUGUAUUGUGUAAUUUACUUGGAGUAGACUUCAAAAGACUAAUACUGAAAUAGACAUAUGUAUUGUACUUCUGUACCAAACUACAUUGUAUUGGAUUUUGUAUCAAACUACCUGUUAUAAAGCA